rnacentral:tRNA from 1 species
AAGGUUAAAACCAGGCUGCUAACCUGAUAAUAAUGAUAAUCAUUUAACCUUU